rnacentral:misc_RNA from 1 species
GUGAAUCAUCAAAUUUUUGAACGCAAAUUGCGCCUUUUCCGGAAGGCAUGUCUGUUUGAGGGCACCAUUUAACAAAUAAUGUGCAGCGUUUUUUGUUUUAAACGUUGAUGAGCUUUCCAAGAAUUUUAAAUUUUGGGUGGCGCUUAUUGAACAGAGGGAAAGUUUUUUUAAUUUGAGUAGUAUUAAAAUUUUUCUUUGG